AACGAACGCUGGCGGCGUGCCUAACACAUGCAAGUCGUGCGGGAAAGUGGGGGUAACUCCAUGAGUACAGCGGCGCACGGGUGAGUAACACGUAGGUAACCUGCCUUCGAGACUGGGAUAACCUGUCGAAAGACGGGCUAAUACCAGAUAAGACCACGGCAGCUUCGGCUGCUGCGGCAAAAGGUGGCCUCUGCUUGCAAGCUAUCACUCGAAGAUGGGCCUGCGCGCCAUUAGCUAGUUGGUGGGGUAACGGCCCACCAAGGCAAAGAUGGCUAGCUGGUCUGAGAGGAUGGCCAGCCACACUGGGACUGAGACACGGUCCAGACUCCUACGGGAGCAGCAGUGGGAAUUUUGCGCAAUGGGCGAAAGCCUGACGCAGCAACGCCGCGUGGA
rnacentral:rRNA from 1 species